GAUGGACCCCCACGCCGCUGUCUCUUUCCCACAUCGAGGUGUCCCCCACCCUCUCCCUCUCGCUAGUUCCAUGGCGGCCGCCGGCUAUGGCCGCCAGAUCCGCCUUCUCCACCAACGUUCGGCACUGGAUCCGGCUUCCGUGGCCGGUACCGCGACACACACAAAACCGGCGCGCGGCGCGGCUGUACCACGAGGCCGGCGAGGAGCGAUGCCGGAUCCACUGCCGUGGGCGUUGGGGAGACCUACUCCGGCGAGGUUCCUCGAUCCCGCCUACCAGAAGCCCGUCCACCGGCAUCUGUGCUGCCCCAGCGGCCGUGCUCGCCGUUCGUGGCUCCGUGCAGCACGGGCACCACGACGAGUCGCCACGCACGGUUGUUGCCAGAUCUGGCGACUCCAAGCCUGACCGCCAUCGGAUCUGAUCAUCGGCCUCCGCUCCCUCUUCAAUUUCAGUUAUUUGAAUGUUUGUGACAGAGGGCAUGUGAUACACUUUUUUGGAAGAGAACCAAGAGUGAAUAAAUUUCAGAAAUAAAGUUACAGCUAUGUACCUGUGUGUGUAGUUGAGAACCAAGAUUGAAAUAUUUUUUGAAAGUGUUGAAAUGAUAUUUCAGUGAGA